rnacentral:rRNA from 1 species
GACAGAGGGUGCAAACGUUGCUCGGAAUUACUGGGCGUAAAGCGCGUGUAGGCGGCUGCGCAAGUCGGAUGUGAAAUCCCAUGGCUCAACCAUGGAAGUGCACCCGAAACUGCGUAGCUAGAGUCUCGGGGAGGAAGGCGGAAUGCUUGGUGUAGAGGUGAAAUUCGUAGAUAUCAAGCGGAACACCGGUGGCGAAGGCGGCCUUCUGGACGAUGACUGACGCUGAGACGCGAAAGCGUGGGGAGCAAACAGG